UCAUUCUGUUCAAUGGAAGAGGUA
rnacentral:siRNA from 1 species